UACUGGUCCCUUCGCAACGCUAUGUCGUGAACCCUGUCAGGUCCGGAAGGAAGCAGCAGCAGCAACAAAUGCGUGUGCCGGAGUGUGGCUGGUAUGC
rnacentral:SRP_RNA from 1 species